CUACGGGAGGCAGCAGUGGGGAAUAUUGGACAAUGGGCGAAAGCCUGAUCCAGCCAUGCCGCGUGGGUGAAGAAGGCCUUCGGGUUGUAAAGCCCUUUUGUUGGGAAAGAAAUCCUGUCGGUUAAUACCCGGCGGGGAUGACGGUACCCAAAGAAUAAGCACCGGCUAACUUCGUGCCAGCAGCCGCGGUAAUACGAAGGGUGCAAGCGUUACUCGGAAUUACUGGGCGUAAAGCGUGCGUAGGCGGUUCGUUAAGUCUGUCGUGAAAGCCCUGGGCUCAACCUGGGAAUUGCGAUGGAUACUGGCGGGCUAGAGUACGGUAGAGGAUGGUGGAAUUCCCGGUGUAGCGGUGAAAUGCGUAGAGAUCGGGAGGAACACCCGUGGCGAAGGCGGCCAUCUGGACCAGUACUGACGCUGAGGCACGAAAGCGUGGGGAGCAAACAGGAUUAGAUACCCUUGUAGUCC
rnacentral:rRNA from 1 species